AAAUUGAAGAGUUUGAUCAUGGCUCAGAUUGAACGCUGGCGGCAGGCCUAACACAUGCAAGUCGAGCGGAAACGAGUUAUCUGAACCUUCGGGGAACGAUAACGGCGUCGAGCGGCGGACGGGUGAGUAAUGCCUAGGAAAUUGCCCUGAUGUGGGGGAUAACCAUUGGAAACGAUGGCUAAUACCGCAUAAUGCCUACGGGCCAAAGAGGGGGACCUUCGGGCCUCUC
rnacentral:rRNA from 1 species